GGGAGCGUAGCGCAGUCGGUAGUCGCGUCAGUCUCAUAUUUUCAUAUGACUUCAUAAUCUGAGGGUAAUCUGAAGGUCGUGAGUUCGAGCCUCACCGUUCCCA
rnacentral:tRNA from 1 species